rnacentral:rRNA from 1 species
CAAACGUUGCUCGGAAUUAUUGGGCGUAAAGCGCACGUAGGCGGCUUAGCAAGUCGGAAGUGAAAGCCCUCGGCUCAACCAAGGAAGUGCUUUCGAAACUGCUGAGCUUGAGUACUUAAGAGGAUCGCGGAAUUCCCGGUGUAGAGGUGAAAUUCGUAGAUAUCGAGAGGAACAUCGGUGGCGAAGGCGGCCUUCUGGACAGUGACUGACGCUGAGACGCGAAAGCGUGGGGAGCAAACAGG